rnacentral:misc_RNA from 1 species
CCUCCAUUUUGCCAAAUGUUUUUUAACGCCGCUCGUCGUCGGGUGGUUGUCGGUAAUCGUCGCGUAACGUCGCAGCGGUUGACUCUCACGUAGUCCUGUCGCGCAUAUCGCGCGCUGCUGUGCUAUUUGUGUCAAGUUCGGUGCCUUACAUGAUGGGACGAUCACGCAGCAGAAGCAGGAGUCGUUCUCCAAAGCUCGCGAGGCAUAAAAACAAGCGCCCGCGAAGGCGCUCGCACUCUAGAGGACGGAGCCGCGACAGCGUCAGCAAAGCACUGCCUAAAUUCACCGACCGCAGACCAAGGAAGCGGUCCUCGUCGAUCUCCAGCAGCAGCAGUGACGACAUCGACGGCCUUUUGGACUCCGCGAGGCGCAAAGUGAAAAGGUCGUCGGAAGGCGACAGGGCGUCAUCUGCAGACUUCGAGCGCCAAAGGCGACAGCGCGAUGCGGACCAUUCCAAGAGAACCGAGGAAGAGAUGCAGCGCCGAAUCGAAGAGGCAGUGACCAUCCGCGUGGCCGAAGAAAUGGAGCGGCGCCGAGAGGCCAUGGAGACAGAGGUGCGACGUCGUGUCGAAGAGGCCCGACACAACAUGGAGAAGCAGCUGCUCCAAGAGGUGGAGCAACGCCGAGCUCAGAUGAUUGCUGACCAGCAGAAGCGGGAGAUAGCAGAAUCCCAAAAGCAGCAGACGCAAUCUGCAUUCUGCUGCUAUCCGAUGGUCAAGCCUAGCCAAGCCGCUGAAGGGACAAACCAGUUUGCCCUCUCUGAAGCUGCCACAGCUGCAUGCUCCGAUUGGUCCUUGGCAGCGACAUUUUUCUGGGCACAUGGUGGCAUGUGUGCUUAUAUCUGACUGGUACGGAUGUUCCCACUGCUAACUUUACCGCACCCCCGAUCUGAUGAGAAUAAGCUUGCAUAUGACGGCACUUGUACAGGAAUGCAGGCUUUAGAUCGCUGCCUUGUCUGAUGUGCAGCAUACAGUUGGGAAUGGCAUGAAACACUGUAACGACUAGUAGGAAAACAAUACAUCGGAGUUAAUGGAAUUUGUUAUGCAAAACUGUAAAUGGAACCUUGCAGCCAGGAAUAUGUUACAGGGAGUGCAUCAAUGGUCUUGUACAGUAGAGCACCGUACUGAUGUGUAAAUGUAGGAUGUCAUGAUCUAAAGAGUUUCAUUUUGUCUUCAUUAAGGUGGCAAUUUGGGCAUGUUGGCGAUCCAUUUCGAGCAGUAGAUGUAUUUAGCAUUUAUUUUGUCAUUAAAAUUAUAUAUCAUUACUACGUUCGUAAACAACUAGGUGCAUAGAGAUUUGAUAAAGUUUCUGUGGAUUUACUGCGACCACGGUGAAUAUAACUUAAAGGUUGAGCUUUUAUUUAUGGAAUUUUAUUCUUUUUCACUAAACUUGGCAUUCAUGCAGCUAUUCCGACAGCUUUAUAUUUUAAAUCCAGACACAUGCCAUGAUAAAUAUCCGCAAAUUCUUACUUGAAACUAUGAUAGUAAUGGUUUUACAGCCUCUGUUUAUGCUGCUAUUGCUACUGAAAUGCUGAUAAAUAGGGUGAAAGGAAGUUUUGAGGUCACGGCAGAGAGUAUAAUAAUGUGAGUAGAUGUUGGAAGAGUGAAUCUUAAUACAUACCGUAUUUACUCGAAUAUAGGCUGACCCUGAUUCUAAGCCGACCCCCAAAAGUCCGAAGCCAGAAAGAAAAAAAAAAAAAAGCUUGCCUCGAAUGUAGGCCAUACAAAAAAAGUGAGGAUAGCGUUAACAAAAUGAACACGGCAUUUAUUAAAUAUGAACAUGCCGAUCUCAUUCUAUGUCAUCGCUGCUAGCCUGGCCGCUAUCUUCCUUAUCGCUGUCAUCUUCAAACAGUGUACUAUAUUCAGUACCAUUAGGUGCAUUAGAGAUGCUGCACUUUUUGAAGGAGCGCACCAUCAAAGUUCCUGGGUAAACGCCAUCUUCGUUGCAGCGCACGCAAAAAGCAUCUCCUGUCGCCCCCUCCAACGAUGGACGUUCUCAUCGAUGAAGUCCCGCUCAGCUUGAACGUUUGACGAUGCCUCUGCGGCUAGUACUACUUUUUGCUUGAAAAGCGGCACUAUAGUGGCAUCGCCUGUUUUUCGUGCCAUCACGAUAAUGCCACGCCGCACGCCGAUGCUGAUACUAUCGAUACGACACAGGUCAAAAUGGCGACGUCGCUCAUGUGCUUCAGUUGACUACUGGUGUGGCUAAUAGUGGCUGCGAUACGGACUUUUCUAGAUGGCGCUAGCUAUGUACCAUAUUUAUAAUUUCUGUUAAAAACUGGCGCAUUUUUAAAAAUGCUCGUAUCGAAGCCAACUCUAGAGUUCGGUAUAUGAUUUUUUGAAAAAGACUAUCGGCCUAGAUUCGAAUAAACACUGUAAUUAGGACAUUGUUGUUAAGGCACUGGUGCUUUAGUUGGUUGUUUGUGGGAGAAACUGGACACAGUAACAUGAACUUUUUGGUAAAAGUACAGAAUAUUUAAAUCGGUGCAUAUGAAGUCAUCUUGUGUUCAUUUUGACGCAGGUUUGUGUAAGUGGUCUCAAGUUGGAAGGAAAACAUUGUGCAGACGUUGCUAGCAAAAUGCAGAGGCUGCAAAAUCAUGAAGUGAAAGGCGUAUAUAAAAAUGUGGAAGGAUUAACGAAACUAUCGGAUAAUCUUUUUUGUCUUCAAAACCUUUCGUAUGCAGAAAAUCACAUGCUGUGCCACUUGAAGUUGCAGCAUGGACAGUGGUGGCACGGAACUGUUGCUCACUCAAAAGUGCACUCUGCAAAAGAAGGUGUGCUUUUGGAAAGAUAGGGGCAAAGAAAAAAAAAUGAUCUGGAGUGCAUUUGGAGAUUGUUACGUGGCCCAGCAUUUGGGGAUGCCACUGCACAAGCAGCAAGGUGGAGUGUUUUGUUUAACUCGAGACUUGUUUCCCCCUCGCACGCCAAGUGCCUCUUCCAAGUUCUCUCUAGGCACAGCCGUCUCACCGGAAACCAAGCGUGAGUGUCUGGAAUCAGUUUGUCAUGCAGGGAAGCUGACUCAACCACAGGCAAGAGAAUGAAUGCGUCUCUUUCACUUGGCAAUUCUCGCAGUGGGGUUGUGGGAGGGCUUCGGCAAGCUCAUUGGGAGAUGAAAUAGAGGGCCUAGGGAAGCGUUCUUUUAUUCGCUGACGUUAAGCCUGACGGAACAGCAAAUGCUGAGGAACCUGUGGUCAACUGUGUGGUUCUCUUGUCUGCCCCACGAGGCUUCAUAAAGCCUUGUGGUGCAAGAGUGCGUUCGGCGGUGUGCUUGCGGGGACCGAGAGCAGAGGCGAAUUACCUGGGCUGCUUUCCCCUCAGGUGGUAGUCCUUGGGUGAGUCGCAGGGUUAUACUUUCGUAGUUUUAAAAUGAUUGGGAGUGAUAAUGUUAUCGCAUAAUUAAGCUUAGCUAAAUAAGGGUUGGGGUGAACUUGAAGGAUGGCGAGCUAUUUUAUUUUCAUCUAAUCUUGCUUGUGAAUCCUUCUUUUACUACUGUUAGCAUGAAGCGGCACUCAGCAUUGGGGCGGCGUCAGCCCGCGUAGCAAUCACGUGCCUGCCAUUCUCCUAUACUGUUCUUGGUUUAGGAGACAUAUAGUGAAGAAAACCAAGUGGUAGCACUUUCAAGGCAGGUUUGUAGAGUUCAGUGAAGGAGCCCUUAAUCCAUUUCUUUACUAGUACCUCAUAGUAAUGUUUGUACGACCCCACUGCUGGUUGCAUUCGAACUUCGCUUAAUUGCUGUCAUUGCAUGAAGGCUUUUGUAAAGAAUUAAAUUGCUUGUGUGCAACUCGUGUGAUUGCUACACAGUGCUGGCAUUGAUGGAAUUGCCCCAAGUGUAACUAUAACUUCUGUAAAUAUCGUUUUGUUAUAAGUAAGCUUUAGAACAUUAGGUUACGUCAAAUUUUUGAGUGGCUGCAGUUCUAGAGAGCAUAUUGGUUGGUUUAAGUACUGUCAUUAACCGUAUUUUCUUGUGAUUUCUGUAGGAGGAGGAGAGAAAACGACUUCAAGAACUUGAGCAAACUCUGGCAGAAAAAAGCAAGCAGUUGGAGGAAGCGCAGCGAAGCUUGGCGGAAGAGCGGCUGGCAAUGAUCGACGAGCGUCGACGGAUUGAUGAGGCCCGCAGGCAGUUGGAGCUGGAGCAG